GUCUGGGGAACAACAGUCGUAUUCUGCAAUCCCACAGAGCAGGACAAGGUAGGAACAGGCAUUUGAGGAGAGUCAAAGGCCAAAUGCAUACAGCCCAAAGGAGUACAGACUGCCUGCUCAGCUCUUCAAGCUACAAGAAGCCUGCCACAGCCUUCAUCUGCUGAGGAGGAGCCACCACUAGUCAAGACAGAGAGUACUGAAGAGAGAGCUAAUGCUUCUGGAUUAAAGGCACUGCUCCCUCAGAAAGAACAGUACAACAGCACUCUGGAUGGUGACAGGCAUUUCAAGUAUAUUCAAGGACACUGGCAGCAAUGUGGAGAACUGAAAGCCCCUACCAUACGAAAAAGAUACGGCUUGCCUGGAGACCAUCCAGAGAAGGACCACAAAGAUCAUCAUUGCCUGGAAAAAAUGCCAUGUGAAGAAAGGCUGGAACAACAGGCUCUGUUCAUCAAAAAGAAAGCUUAGAGACUUUAUUAUAUACUUAUACCCAAUGAAGAGUGGUUAUAAAGGAGACGGAGGCUCCCUUUAUCCAAGGAGUUACAUGGAGAAGAUGAUAGUUAAAGAGCACAAGUCACUCCUAUACAGUGGUCAAUACAAUCUGCAAUGCAGCAGCCCUUUGGAACAGAACCUAAGAAGAUGUGUCUGAGAGGAAAUUGAGAUCAGCUGUAGGCAUGAAGAGGUUGGAAUAUCACACUGAUUCUUCAGUACCUCAACAACAAAGACAAAAAGCAAAAGAUGUAGGUGUGAUUUAUCCAGGCUUAAAACAGGAAGACAGACAUACAGAGCUGGCUGUUGUUGAACUGGCUGGGGACAAGAGAGCUCUUCCCAGUCAAUACUGCCAUUGUUUGCUUGGGCAUACAGAAUAAAACAUU